CCAUCGGUUGGAAUCGGCGAAACUGCUCCGUCGCCAGUUAAAAAACCGGCUCCAACACGUAAUGCACUCAAAUUGGGUGGCAAAUCGAAGGAUGUUGAUAGUUUCGUUUACCAAUUGAAGAAUUGAUCCAUUCUCAGUUGAAACCAUAUUCUAUCCCGAGAAAUACGAAAUUGCCUGAAGUAAUUAGAAUCACAUUUAUGUUUAAUAUUCCAUUGCUGCAAAAUGUACCAAUUGUAAUGGUGUUAUUAUUUCAAUUUAUCUACAUUUUAACAUUUAUUCAAUAAAUUGCAUUUCUUUCGAAGAAGAAAAUUAUACUUUA